rnacentral:rRNA from 1 species
GGGAAGAAUUUAACAUUGUUAAUACCAGUGUUAAUUGACGUUACCUAUAUAAGAAGCACCGGCUAACUCCGUGCCAGCAGCCGCGGUAAUACGGAGGGUGCGAGCGUUAAUCGGAAUUACUGGGCGUAAAGAGUACGCAGGUGGUUUGCUAAGUCAGGUGUGAAAUCCCUGAGCUCAACUUAGGAACUGCAUUUGAAACUGGUAAACUAGAGUUUCGUAGAGGGGGGUAGAAUUCCAGGUGUAGCGGUGAAAUGCGUAGAGAUCUGGAGGAAUACCGGUGGCGAAGGCGACCCCCUGGACGAAAACUGACACUCAGGUACGAAAGCAUGGGGAGCAAACAGGAUUAGAUACCCUGGUAGUCCAUGCCGUAAACGAUGUCGAUUUGAAGGUUGUAGACUUUGAGCUGUGACUUUCGGAGCUAACGCGNUAAAUCGACCGCCUGGGGAGUACGACCGCAAGGUUAAAACUCAAAUGAAUUGACGGGGGCCCGCACAAGCGNNNGAGCAUGUGGUUUAAUUCGAUGCAACACGAAGAACCUUACCUACUCUUGACAUCCAAAGAAUCACAUAGAAAUAUGAGAGUGCCUUCGGGAACUUUGAGACAGGUGCUGCAUGGCUGUCGUCAGCUCGUGUUGUGAAAUGUUGGGUUAAGUCCCGCAACGAGCGCAACCCUUAUCCUUUGUUGCCAACGAGUAAAGUCGGGAACUCAAAGGAGACUGCCGGUGAUAAACCGGAGGAAGGUGAGGAUGACGUCAAGUCAUCAUGGCCCUUAUGAGUAGGGCUACAAACGUGCUACAAUGGCGUAUACAAAGAGAAGCAAUCUCGCGAGAGCCAGCAAACCUCACAAAGUACGUCUUAGUCCGGAUUGGAGUCUGCAACUCGACUCCAUGAAGUCGGAAUCGCUAGUAAUCGUGGAUCAGAAUGUCACGGUGAAUACGUUCCCGGGCCUUGUACACACCGCCCGUCACACCAUGGAAGUGGGUUGCAAAAGAAGUAAGCAGUUUAACCUUAGGG